rnacentral:rRNA from 1 species
ACGGCUCAGUAACACGUGGACAACCUAACCUACAGAAGGGGAUAACCCCGGGAAACUGGGGAUAAUACCCUAUAGACUAUGGAUGCUGGAAUGCUCUGUAGCCGAAAGGUCCGCCGCUGUAGGAUGGGUCUGCGGCCGAUUAGGUUGUUGUUGGGGUAACGGCCCAACAAGCCUGUAAUCGGUACGGGUUGUGGGAGCAAGAGCCCGGAGAUGGAUUCUGAGACACGAAUCCAGGCCCUACGGGGCGCAGCAGGCGCGAAAACUUUACAAUGCGGGAAACCGUGAUAAGGGAACUCUGAGUGCCCGUAAAAUCGGGCUGUCCAUCAGUUUAAAUAACUGGUGAAGAAAGGGCUGGGCAAGACCGGUGCCAGCCGCCGCGGUAAUACCGGCGGCUCGAGUGGUGGCCACUAUUACUGGGCUUAAAGCGUUCGUAGCUGGUUUGUUAAGUCUCUGGGGAAAUCUUCCGGCUUAACCGGAAGGCGUCUCAGGGAUACUGGCAGACUAGGGACCGGAAGAGGUGAGAGGUACUCCAGGGGUAGGAGUGAAAUCCUGUAAUCCUUGGGGGACCACCUGUGGCGAAGGCGUCUCACCAGAACGGCUCCGACAGUGAGGGACGAAAGCUGGGGGAGCAAACCGGAUUAGAUACCCGGGUAGUCCCAGCCGUAAACGAUGUGCAUUAGGUGUAUCGGUGACCACGAGUCACCGAGGUGCCGAAGAGAAACCGU